AUGCCUCAAAGAAUUCAAGGUUGUAUUUACUCUCUAUGUCUCAAACAAUUAGAAGUUGUAUUUAAUUACAUGAACUGCAUAUGUGAUCUUUACUGUUUUUUUCUAGGACUAUUAUGUCUAUCAAAAGGGACUGAAGCCAGGAGAGGGGGAUAGAGCUGCUAAAGAGUUCAUGAGCAAGAAAUGGAAGAGUAUCCCUUAUGAGGAAAAGAGUCGGGCUGAUUUAUCAGCUGAAAAUGCAAGGAAAGGGGGACUGAAAUCAGCUACUCGGCGUGAUUUCAAGCCUCAUUACUUCAACAAACGCACCUGGGAUAAACUGUGUAAUUAUUGGGAGAGCGAAGAGUUUCUUAUUAAGUCAAAAAAUGGAAAAGAAGCCCGAAAGAAGGUGGAACACAUCCAUCACAGCGGGGCC
rnacentral:lncRNA from 1 species